CGUGCAGGCGGUGCAGUAAGUUUGGAGUGACAGUACCCGGCUCAACUGGGUAAGGCCUUCGAAAACUAGCUGGACUUGAGGGCCAGAGAGGGACAUAGAAUUCCGGGUGGAGUGGUGAAAUGCGUAGAUAUCCGGAGGAAUACCAAAGGCGAAGGCAGUGUCCUGGCUGGCAUCUGACGCUGAGGCGCGAAAGCUAGGGGAGCGAACA
rnacentral:rRNA from 1 species